rnacentral:misc_RNA from 1 species
AAGUCGUAACAAGGUUUCCGUAGGUGAACCUGCGGAAGGAUCAUUACAUUCAGUAGCCUAGCUACUGGCAUGGGGAUUGUUAGCCUGCAUGGUAUCACUACCGAUGAGCAGCAGAUCCCCUGUCUAUACCCUUGUUUUUUGCGUACCUAUUGUUUCCUCGGCGGGCUUGCUCGCCGGUUGGACAAAACCUAUAACCUUUUUUUAAUCUUCAAUCAGCGUCUGAAAUUAUACAUAAUAAUUACAACUUUCAACAACGGAUCUCUUGGUUCUGGCAUCGAUGAAAGC